UCCCUCUUCUUCUUCUUCUUCUUCUUCUUCUUCAUACCAUCGUCUCUUUUCCUCCAUUUCUCUCCUACAUUCAGAGUUGAACUGGUUCUUGCAGAAACAGUUUAGGAGUAGAUCCCCUUCUUUUUCCCCCUAAAGAAGCCCCAACGAGGGGAAGUGCUUUUUGGCUCAGAGCGUAGAAGGGUGGAUACACUACGAAACAGGAGCCGCCCACAAAGAAAACUCUAGAGGGAGAGAGUUGAGCAUUGGAUGGAUCCCAUGACGGAAGAGCAGUUGGAUUAUGAGGAGGAUGAUUUUGGGGGUAAUCAGAGGCUUCGCCACUAUGGCGGCGGCGGCGGCGGCGGCGCCAUCCCCGCCAUCGCGGAAGAGGAUAUGAUGGGGGAUGAUGAUGAAUUCGACGAUCUCUACAGCGAUGUGAACGUCGGCGAGGGUUUUAUGCAGACCAUGAAGCAAAAGUCCGAACCGCCGAAGCCGUAUGGUAAUGGAGUGGAAGAUAAGGAGGUGAAUUCUAGCUAUGGGCAGCAAGAAACUGAUCAGAGACCUAGUGUGUUUCUCAAUCUGAAGGGUUCGGCAGAGCGCGGCGGGGAUUACCCGGAGGAAAUUCCCCCAAAAAGUAACAUGGUGCCGGAGAUUGCACCAAAGAACAGUCUGGUAAAUGCCGGAACUCAUUCCGGAAUCGGAAUGGAAGCCAAGUUUGCUGCUGGGCCUUCGGUGCUCCCUCCAGAAUCCAGAAAUCCGCCGCUUAUGCCGCCUGCGCAGCCUCCGCUGCCUCCUCCGAGUGAUAACCAUCUUGCGAUGAAUGACGGCGUGAGACAGGAGAUGAGCUCUAUGGAUAACAACGGCCCGACGACACUCUUUGUUGGGGAGCUCCACUGGUGGACCACCGAUUCCGACCUUGAGAGUAUUCUGAUGCAGUUCGGGAGGGUGAAAGAGAUCAAGUUCUUUGACGAGAGGGCGAGCGGGAAGUCGAAGGGCUACUGCCAGGUUGAGUUCUAUGAGGCGGCGGCCGCGGCCGCUUGCAAGGAAGGAAUGAACGGCCACGCGUUCAACGGGCGGCCGUGCGUGGUGGCGUUUGCGUCGCCGCAGUCCUUGAAGCAGAUGAACACGACUUAUAUGAAUAAAAACCAAGGCCAAGCACAGGGGAGGAGGCAAAUGAGUGAUGGUAUGGGUAGAGGUGGCGGAAUGAGUAAUCAGGGCAAUGAUGGUGGUGGACGAAACUUCGGUAAGGCCGGAUGGGGCCGAGGUGGGCAGGGCUUUAUGAACAGAGGCCCGAAUGGCGGUGCUGGUGGGCAGAUGAGGGGAAGGGGGUUCAUGGGUGCGAAGGGAAUAAUAGGGGGUGCAGGUGGAGGAGCUGGGGUCGGUAUCUCGGCAGGGCCGUAUGGGCACGGCCUAGCUGGGCCCGCGAUGGGGGGUCCUGCCGGUGGGUUUAUGCACCCGCAGAGUCUAAUGGGUGCGGCAUUUGACCCAACCUUCAUGGGUCGAGGAGGUCCUUUCGGUGCAUUUCCCGCUCCGGCUUUUCCUGGGAUGAUUCCUCCAUUUCAAGCUGUCAAUCCUGUCGGGCUUCCUGGAGUCGCACCUCAUGUGAACCCGGCAUUUUUCAACCGUGGAAUGGCUGGAAAUGGAAUGGGAAUGAUGAGCAGCGGCGGAAUGGAAGGACCGCCGAUGGGGAUGUGGAAUGACUCAAGCAUGGGUGGUGAUGAUGGCGAUGAUGUUGCUUCUGAAUAUGGCUAUGGGGAAAUGAACAAUGAGAGAGGUGGGAGAUCGAAUGCCUCUAGGGAGAAGGAGAAAGUUCCAGACCGUGACUGGUCGGGGAAUCCUGAGAGGAGGCAUCGUGACGAGAGGGAGCAAGAUUCAGAUAGGUAUGAUAGAGAGCGGUACAAAGAGGAGAGAGAUGGGCACAGGGACUACAGGCAGAGAGAGUGGGACUUGGAUAACGGAGAUGACCUGGGGAGGGGGCAGUCCUCUUCAAGGUCUCGAAGCAAGUCAAGGGUGUCGCAUGGAGAAGAUUAUAGAUCGCGCUCUAGGGAUGUAGAGUAUGGAAAGAGACGUCGCGAGUGAAAAUAUAUAUCUUGCAUAGAAGUCGAUCGCAGCUGAUGCCUCUUCGUUGGCCUCAGAUUGACAAAUUCACAAGACCAAUAUGUGAAAAAUUAGCGUGUUGGUGACUUUGAAGCACAUGAUAUGGAGAAUAUUUAAUCACAUACAUUGCUAAUUGGAGCAUCAUAUGGGGAGAUAACAUUCACUUUUGUAGACAUGUCCUCCGUUAGUAGGAUACGUGAUUUUACAUUGUAACUGGAAGAAAUGUGUUUGUACAUAGUCUAACCAUAAGCUUUGUAUAAAUGUUAAGAAAGAAGGGGUAUUCAAGUUGUACAGUCUCAAAGUUUGUUCUUACAUCUGUUGUAUAUCUGAAUUCCCACUGUACACAUCAUGCUUAUCUUUGCAGCUGAAAAAGGGUAUGAGUCAAACUAGAUUGUCGAGUCGUCUGGUUUGUACUUGAACUAGUUUGUGUUACCUCCUCUCAAUUGAGCAUUAUACACAAUGUAACCUAGUGAAUAACCAGGGGUUCGUAACUGAAGGAGAACAGUGAAAUCAAUCACUUCAUGAAACAAUCUUCCAUUGAGCAUGUAUUGCAGCUCGCUGUAAGGAAUCAUCACUUAGUGUGAUACUUGGAAUGUUGUUUCUUUC